GCAGGCAAACGCUUGAAUACGUUAGCAUGGAAUAAUAGAAUAGGACUUUGGUUCUAUUUUGUUGGUUUCUAGGACCGAAGUAAUGAUUAAUAGGGACAGUUGGGGGCAUUAGUAUUUAGUUGUCAGAGGUGAAAUUCUUGGAUUUACGAAAGACUAACUUCUGCGAAAGCAUUUGCCAAGGAUGUUUUCAUUAAUCAAGAACGAAAGUUAGGGGAUCGAAGACGAUCAGAUACCGUCGUAGUCUUAACCAUAAACUAUGCCGACUAGGGAUCGGACGAUGUUAAUUUAUAAUUGACUCGUUCGGCACCUUACGAGAAAUCAAAGUUUUUGGGCUCCGGGGGGAGUAUGGUCGCAAGGCUGAAACUUAAAGGAAUUGACGGAAGGGCACCACCAGGAGUGGAGCCUGCG
rnacentral:rRNA from 1 species